rnacentral:rRNA from 1 species
GUUCCCUACGCAAGGCAGCAGUGAGGAAUAUUGGUCAAUGGCUGAAGGGCUGAACCAGCCAAGCCGCGUGAAGGAAUAAGGCCCUACGGGUCGUAAACUUCUUUAGUCAGGGAACAAAGGGUGCCACGUGUGGCGCUGUGAGUGUACCUGAAGAAUAAGCAUCGGCUAACUCCGUGCCAGCAGCCGCGGUAAUACGGAGGAUGCGAGCGUUAUCCGGAUUUAUUGGGUUUAAAGGGUGCGUAGGCGGUUUGUCAAGUCAGCGGUAAAAAUUCCGGGCUCAACCCGGUCCCGCCGUUGAAACUGGG